UACGUAGGGUGCAAGCGUUAAUCGGAAUUACUGGGCGUAAAGCGUGCGCAGGCGGGUUCUUAAGUCAGAUGUGAAAGCCCCGGGCUUAACCUGGGAACUGCGUUUGAAACUGGGAGACUUGAGUGUGGCAGAGGGGGGUGGAAUUCCACGUGUAGCAGUGAAAUGCGUAGAUAUGUGGAGGAACACCGAUGGCGAAGGCAGCCCCCUGGGUUAACACUGACGCUCAUGCACGAAAGCGUGGGGAGCAAACAGG
rnacentral:rRNA from 1 species